GGAAUACCGUGUAGAAGUGUGGGCUCUGCUGAACCGUGACUUUGCUGUCCACGCCAGAGUUUGCAAAACCCCAUAGGCUUUCAGGUGACCUCUGUGGAUCUUUGAGUGCCUCUUCCCUGUACAUUUACAAGUUGCCCUUUACAUCAGUUGCACUUGCAUUUUGACUACCCUGAUGUUUCUUCUUUACAAACCUCGAGAGCCUGUCUGCCCUGGUCUCUUGGCCCGAGAGUCUGUCGGCCCUGGCCUCUUGGCCCGAGAGUCUGUCUGCCCUGGCCUAUUGGCCCGAGAGUCUGUCUGCCCUGGCCUCUUGGCCCGAGAGUCUGUCUGCCCUGGCCUCAUAAAUACUCCUAGUAUUUUCACCAAGGAAUGGUAAAGACCAAGCAACAAACUGCUCUGAAGUUGCCAGCAAUAAGUCCAGAAUUGAAAACCAUUAAAGGAGAAGGAAAGGCUAAGUCAC